rnacentral:rRNA from 1 species
AGAACGAACGCUGGCGGCAUGCCUAAUACAUGCAAGUCGAACGAAGGCUUCGGCCUUAGUGGCGCACGGGUGUGUAACGCGUGGGAAUCUGCCCCUUGGUUCGGAAUAACAGUUGGAAACGACUGCUAAUACCGGAUGAUGACGAAAGUCCAAAGAUUUAUCGCCAAGGGAUGAGCCCGCGUAGGAUUAGCUAGUUGGUGAGGUAAAGGCUCACCAAGGCGACGAUCCUUAGCUGGUCUGAGAGGAUGAUCAGCCACACUGGGACUGAGACACGGCCCAGACUCCUACGGGAGGCAGCAGUAGGGAAUAUUGGACAAUGGGCGAAAGCCUGAUCCAGCAACGCCGCGUGAGUGAUGAAGGCCUUAGGUUGUAAGCUCUUUUACCCGAGAUGAUAAUGACAGUAUCGGAGAAUAAGCCCCGGACUAACUCCGUGCCAGCAGCCGAC